GCCAUCUUAGCUCAGUUGACUAGAGCACCGCUUUCGUAAAGCGGGGGUCCCGAGUUUGAAUCUCGGAGGUGGCUCCA
rnacentral:tRNA from 1 species